rnacentral:lncRNA from 10 species
CAACAACCUAUUAUUUUCCUUUUCACCAACUUUUGGCUACUCCCUGAUCACAUUCAGGGUGCAAAAAUGCUAGGAGUGAACAGUUAACCAAUCCCUAUCCUGCACCAGCACAUAUGACAGAACCUAUUUGGAAUUCUUUUACAGGAUGCACUAGCUAAUGCAGAUAAGCUCUGUGGCAUCAAUUCACCCUCCAGAAGAAACCCAAAUAGCAACACAGGAUGAAGGUCAAGGAUUAACUGAUGCUAAUGGAAAUGUUCCCAGUGACCGUCCAGAUAAAAUAUUGUAUCCCAGCUGAUGAGGCCGGCACAUGAUGACAACACUACAAGCACCAAGAAAAUUGAUGCGAUGGCCUGUCUUAAGUUGGCUUCCUCUAUUGGUCUUUUAUCUGACAAGACACCUUUGGCAAAGUCUCAUCAAUAUGCUACUUUUCAUCUGCCUGACACUGAAAUCAAUGGACUGCAGAAGAAGCCUCUCGAUCAGCAUUGUCAGAAAUGAUCACCAUGCUGGACGGAGCAUGCUACCUGAUUUCUGUGAGCACUCAUUCAUUCCUGAAAGCUUUCUCUCAGCUGUUACAAGAGUGACCCUGCUUAGAGGUCAGAGAUAAAGAUGCUCUGCAGUCAGAGGAUGCACGGUAAAUGUGGAGAGGGGAGACUUUCUCAGAGCGUGAGACGAUAUAAUGGUCUGUAUAUCUGGCCCCUGGGAGAAAUCACAUUUUCCAUCUCUGGGGCACGUGACCUGCAGGAUCUGCAUUUGUGGGCCUGGAAGCCCUAAUUUGUCAUAAGUGACAGUUGGGAUUAGUGGUUAUAUUCAACAUUACAGAAAGAACUUACCCAAGCAAAAGUAAAUGAGUUGGCAUAAUUAGUUUUAUGAAGAAAAUUUAAAGUAUUCAUCAAAAACUUUAUAACAAAAUAUAAACAUGAUUAUAUAAAUCUUUUUAUAUAUUCUUGAUUAACCAAUACGAAUAAUUGAGUAGAAGAAAAAGCUUGCCAAAUACCUUUUAACGUAUUUAGAUAAUUUUCUCCCAUCAGCGAUAACAAGAAUUAUCAUAUCAAAAACUGAAUUCCACUAGCAAUCAUAAACCUAAUGGAAUUAGGUUUCCCUGACUUGGAAGAUUCUAGGCUUGUGCUCAUUCUAAGAGAGAGAAUAAUGUCCUGGGAGCCUACAGCCAUCACUCAGAACUCUAACCCAAAGUAGAAGAAAGAUUGAAGACCACUGGUUUCAGACAAUGAUACCUAAAUUAUUCUGCCUGGUGAAUAUCUAAAUGACCAAGGCACUUGAUUGUUCUCUGCUUGAAGGAAUACAAAAGCCUUUAUACCCUAGAAGGCAAGAAGUUCUUUAUUUAAAAAAAAAAAAGAAAAAAGAAAAGAAAAAAUUUUGGCCUGGUUAAAAUGCACUUCAUUUUGUUCCUCAUGUUGACCAGUAAUUACAUACUCUUCCCCCUGCAAAAGAAAAAACACUACUCAUUCUAAAAUAGCAGUAUUGACCCUUUUGAGAUAUUUCAAAAGGAUAUUUUCAAAAAGACAUUUCAAAAUCCUAGAAGCAAAGAAAAUAUAGUUGAAAUCCAGGAAAGCUGAGAAGGUACACACCUGACUGAACUCCCACAAAAGCAUGGCUGCAAAUCCCAGAGAAAGAAGAAAGAGAACUUACAUAAAGGAGGCUUUCUGGAGAACUCGCUGUAAGAGGGUCAAUGCGGAAAUAUGGAAUGUGCUUAGGAGUCCACUGAAGCAGUCCAGAGGCCACUACCAGCUGUUAGAACAUCCAUCUCCAUCAUGAUCUGAGCAACUGAAAGGAGAGGCUCACCUAAGCUGCCUGAUUGAAGAGAAGAAAUCAGGAGAAGGUUGAAGCAGCAGCCAGGUGGGAGAAAAACCCAUCUUAGCACUGCUGGCAAACCUGGAAACACAGUGAUCCACCAGGUUCAUCGCUGGGUCAUUGGGCAAUCCCCUCUGCCCUGGCACCUUUCACUGCUCUCAUUCAAUCAAUGAACAUGACCAAGUAUCUAUUACACGCAUCAGGUCCCAUGCUAAUUGGGCGGUGGGAAGAGGAUAAGAUAUAAAAGACCCAGUUCUAUAAACUGUCAGCUUUCUGAGAGCUCCAUAUUCCCAGUAUCUAGAACAGUAGAUGGCACACCUUAGCCUCAAGUCAGUAUUUGCUGUUUCAAUUAAGUAACCCUAGUUACUGCCUGGGUAGAAUGGCUUGAUGCCCUGCUUGAGACCAGGAGUUACAGAUUUUAGUUAGAAAACAAGGCUCUUCUCUGCUCUAUUGCCAAUCAGGGGCGAGUUUGUAUCCUCAGAGGGCAGCAGCUGCAUUCCUAGUAUCAUCUUUGCCUCAUCCGCCACUCUGGCACUGCACAAACUGAGCCCCGUGAAGCGCCGCGUUCCCUCUCUCCCUGAAGCGACGCCCCCUUCCUUCUCAGAGGGCCCCCUGAGCUGCGUCCCUCUGCCCCAGAGCUGUGCCUGGCGUCUG